AUGCUUCUGUUCAAUUAUAAUGUUAUGAUCAUGCGAUUAUUUCUUUACUGUUGUUUUUCUUUAUUCGUAUUUUUAUUUUUAAUUUUUUUAAAUUUUGUUUUAACAGUAAAAUCAAACCUACUUCCUGGUACGCACAUGUUUCAGAACAUUUGAUUGGUUGACAAAAGAGCGGGUGGAUACAAUUUGUUAAUCAAAUUUGGCCCCGCCCCUUUCAUCGACGCCCCGAAGAUGCCGUUGCAGUGACUCAGCAAAUCCGGAAAGCAUAGAAGUGCAUGGAUGGCUACAGCGAGAGGACGAGCAGGAUGUUUAUGAGCCACGAUUGUCCUGAGGACACAGUGGCGAGUCCAAGGGUCGCUCUUUUUCGACUACUACUGCUGCUGCUGUGGCCGUCUGAUUCUGGGCCCAUCAUUAACCAGCUUUUAACUGCAGGCUGGUGGAGGACGGUGUGGAGCCUCUCGCUGUGAUGGUGUCGCGACUCCUCCUCGUACGCCAUGUCCCGGUCGGCCUGCGGGAGCGCCAGGAACCGCCGGAUGGUGCACAAGUUCUCCCAAAGGGUGCGGUUCUCCGGGCUGGGGUUUUCCUUCCAGCGGAGCAGCUCGCACAGCCAACCCUGCGAGGUGACAUGGAUGCACCA